rnacentral:rRNA from 1 species
ACGGAAGGCAGCAGUGGGGGAUAUUGCACAAUGGUGGAAACUCUGAUGCAGCAACGCCGCGUGAGGGAAGAAGGUCUUCGGAUUGUAAACCUCCGUUUUAGUGACGAAACAAAUGACGGUAGCUCAAGAGGAAGCCACGGCUAACUACGUGCCAGCAGCCGCGGUAAUACGUAGGUGGCAAGCGUUGUCCGGAUUUACUGGGUGUAAAGGGUGCGCAGGCGGGACUGCAAGUUGGAUGUGAAAUGCUGAGGCUUAACCUCAGAACUGCAUCCAAAACUGUAGUUCUUGAGUGGAGUAGAGGUAAGCGGAAUUCCGAGUGUAGCGGUGAAAUGCGUAGAUAUUCGGAGGAACACCAGUGGCGAAGGCGGCUUACUGGGCUCUAACUGACGCUGAGGCACGAAAGUGUGGGUAGCAAACAGGAUUAGAUACCCUGGUA